GAUGAACGCUAGCGAUAGGCCUAACACAUGCAAGUCGAGCGGGCAAUUUAUCUAGCACUGAUUACUUCAAAUGGCUAUCGCCAGUGUAAUCAUGAAUUUCUACCUUUAAUAAGGAAAAAAGAAAUUCAUGUACGCAAAUAGUGAUAACACAUUUUAGUGAAGUGAUGAGUGCUGGAUAAAUUGCUAGCGGCGGACGGGUGCGUAACACGUGGGUAACCCUGCCCCUAUCACUGGGAUAACACACUGAAAAGUGUGCUAAUACCAGAUAAUAUAAGCUUUUGGCAUCAUUAGCUUAUCAAAGAAUUUCGGAUAGGGAUGGGCCCGCGUCUGAUUAGCUAGUUGGUGAGGUAACGGCUCACCAAGGCAACGAUCAGUAGCCGACCUGAGAGGGUGAUCGGCCACACUGGAACUGAGACACGGUCCAGACUCCUACGGGAGGCAGCAGUAAGGAAUAUUGCUCAAUGGCCGAAAGG
rnacentral:rRNA from 1 species